rnacentral:rRNA from 1 species
GACGGAACGCUGGCGGCGUGCUUAACACAUGCAAGUCGAGCGGUAAGGCCCUUUCGGGGGUACACGAGCGGCGAACGGGUGAGUAACACGUGGGUGACCUGCCCUCAGCUCUGGGAUAAGCCUGGGAAACCGGGUCUAAUACUGGAUAUGACUCCAUGACGCAUGUUGUGGGGUGGAAAGCCUUGUGCGGCUGAGGAUGGGCCCGCGGCCUAUCAGCUUGUUGGGGGGUGAUGGCCUACCAAGGCGACGACGGGUAGCCGGCCUGAGAGGGCGACCGGCCACACUGGGACUGAGACACGGCCCAGACUCCUACGGGAGGCAGCAGUGGGGAAUCUUGCGCAAUGGGCGAAAGCCUGACGCAGCGACGCCGCGUGAGGGAUGACGGCCU